rnacentral:rRNA from 1 species
CCCUUAGAUGUUCUGGGCUGCACGCGCGCUACACUGAUGCAUCCAACAAGUUUUUUCCUUGUUCGAGAGGACUAGGUAAUCUUAUGAGAAUGCAUCGUGAUGGGGAUAGAUUAUUGCAAUUAUUAAUCUUCAACGAGGAAUUCCUAGUAAGCGCGAGUCAUCAGCUCGUGCUGAUUACGUCCCUGCCCUUUGUACACACCGCCCGUCGCUCCUACCGAUUGAAUGAUCCAAUGAAUACCAUGGAUUGAGAGUACGAAUAGGUUCGCUUAUUUCUGCUUCUCGAGAAGUGGAGUAAAUCUUAUCAUUUAGAGGAAGGAGAAGUCGUAACA